AUUGAACGCUGGCGGCAGGCCUAACACAUGCAAGUCGAACGAGUGGCGGACGGGUGAGUAAUGUCUGGGAAACUGCCUGAUGGAGGGGGAUAACUACUGGAAACGGUAGCUAAUACCGCAUACCAUCGGAUGAGCCCAGAUGGGAUUAGCUUGUUGGUGGGGUAACGGCUCACCAAGGCGACGAUCCCUAGCUGGUCUGAGAGGAUAACCAGCCACUCGGGAACUGAGACACGGUCCAGACGCCUACGGGAGGCAGCAGUGGGGAAUAUUGCACAAUGGGGGCAAGCCUGAUGCAGCCAUGCGGCGUGUAUGAAGAAGGCGUUCGGGUUGUAAAGUACUGGCAGCGGGGAGGCGUUACCCGCAGAAGAAGCACCGGCUAACUCCGUGCCAGCAGCCGCGGUAAUGC
rnacentral:rRNA from 1 species